GAGUUAAGCAUCCUUGGUUUUCAUGCCCAAAGGUUGGGCACCUUCUUCCUUCUAUGUGCCAAGCUUUGAGGUGCUAAUUUGAGAAGAGUUCUCUCAUCUUCUUCAUUCUUUUUCAAGAUUGCUUGCUGGUUUCUUGAUAAAGAAAUAAGAGAGGAGCUUUUCUAGACCUAUCUCAUAGAUAUCUGUAGAGAUCGGAUACUUGUGCAGCUCAAAAAGAAUCGAGAAGAUAUCCAUGAUCAUCGAUUGUGGUGAAUAACUAUCCACAUAAAGAUGAAGAUGA
rnacentral:lncRNA from 1 species